UGUUCUCCAGGGAGUCAAACUGCUUCUCUCUGCAGCAUACAUGAUGGAUACAUGCAGAAUCUAAUAUCCACUGCUGAGAAGAAGUAGAUACCGCAUCAGAUAUCUUUAGGACAUCUCCACCUGAAUCACUGUCGACCGUUGCCACAGCAGCCAUCGUCCGAUUUUUGAGUUGAGGGCAAUCUCUAGCUAGAUGCCCCAACUCCUCACAUCGGUAACAUCUGGCUUUGCUCAAGUACCUCC
rnacentral:lncRNA from 1 species